rnacentral:rRNA from 1 species
AACGAACGCUGGCGGCAGGCCUAACACAUGCAAGUCGAACGCCCUAGCAAUAGGGAGUGGCAGACGGGUGAGUAACACGUGGGAACCUUCCCUGUAGUACGGAAUAGCCCAGGGAAACUUGGAGUAAUACCGUAUACGCCCGAAAGGGGAAAGAUUUAUCGCUAUAGGAUGGGCCCGCGUAGGAUUAGCUAGUUGGUGAGGUAAUGGCUCACCAAGGCGACGAUCCUUAGCUGGUUUGAGAGAACGACCAGCCACACUGGGACUGAGACACGGCCCAGACUCCUACAGGAGGCAGCAGUGGGGAAUAUUGGACAAUGGGCGCAAGCCUGAUCCAGCCAUGCCGCGUGAGUGAUGAAGGCCUUAGGGUUGU